UUUAUUGGAGAGUUUGAUCCUGGCUCAGGAUGAACGCUGGCGGCGUGCCUAAUACAUGCAAGUCGAGCGAAUGGAUUAAGAGCUUGCUCUUAUGAAGUUAGCGGCGGACGGGUGAGUAACACGUGGGUAACCUGCCCAUAAGACUGGGAUAACUCCGGGAAACCAGGGCUAAUACCGGAUAACAUUUUGAACUGCAUGGUUCGAAAUUGAAAGG
rnacentral:rRNA from 1 species